rnacentral:rRNA from 1 species
UACGAGAGGCCCAAACGUUAUUCGGAAUUACUGGGCUUAAAGAGUUCGUAGGCGGCAUUGCAAGUAGGGUGUGAAAGCCCUCGGCUCAACCGAGGAAUUGCGCUCUAAACUGCAGUGCUUGAGGAACCUAGAGGUGAGCAGAACAGAUGGUGGAGCGGUGAAAUGCGUUGAUAUCAUCUGGAAUACCGGAGGCGAAGGCGGCUCACUGGGAGUUUUCUGACGCUGAGGAACGAAAGCCAGGGUAGCGAGCGGG